UACUUCUCCUGCUUAAUUCUGUGUCUGUUGUUACCAACAUUCUGAAAAGGGAAAGGGUUAACAUUAGGCAGAGAGAGAGAGAGAAGGGACCCUCAGGGAGGCAGUCUGCAGCUACACGUGGGAGGCUGAAGCAGCAGCAGCGGCGGCAGAGUUUGGGGGAGAAGGGGAUAAGAUAAACGUGUUCUGGAUGUGCCCGGGUUAGGUGCCAUGGGCGGAGUCUCACAGACUUUCUGAUAAGGUCCCAGUAAAAAGCCAGGGACAGAGUCCUCAGGGGCUACCCAGCCGGGACCCUGCUCACUCUUGAGAGCUCUGCACUUUCCUUCAAUAAACUCUGUGCCUUUGCCUCGCUCUCCGUCGUCCGCGACUCCGGGAGACAAGGACCAGGUUCUCUCCUGUAACAUUUUGGUGCCGAAACCCGGGAGCUGUCGGGGUGAGACGAGCUGGGGUCUGACUCACGCCCGCUGUCACAGCACUCGGGUUGGUUACAGACAGAGCAGGGGCAUUACGAUCGCCUGGCACACAGAGCUGGAAGAUCAUUAAAGCACUGCAUCAGGCCUUUCAUUUACGGAGGGAUAGAACUCAUCAAAUGGCCCAAAGGACGUUUGCUGGGAAAAAUCGGUCAAGGAGAGUUCAGCAAGUAGUAUCAACCUCCAAAGUUUGUCUUAGAAACAAUCCUCUCAACCACAGACUUGCUCUCCCAGACAACCAAGGAACUGGAGGCUAUCCAGGGAAGACUGAUGAUUAGGUUUCACCCAUGUGCCAAGGUCAAAGGGGUUCCGACAUCUUUGGUAUGAGUUGAUACUCGUUCUAAUUGGGUAGAGGCCUUCCCCCGCAAGACACAAAAGGCGCAAGAAGUAAUAAAAGCUCUGCUUUAUAAAAUAAUACCCGGGUCUGGCUUACCGAAAGAUUACAAAGUAAUGGUGGUGAGUGGCUGCCUUGACUCCUCUCCGGGAGGACUCCCGGCUCCUAGACAAGUUUCACACGGCAAAAUCAAGCAAACUGUCGGCCUACUCAGCGGAGCUCUACGCGAUACCUCCCAAGCAUUAGAUGCUUUCUUUAAAUCACAAAUUAGGUGAAGUUAGGGCCGGACUCUUGGAGAACCGAGCCACCGCUGAUGCCUUGCCUGCUCCUCCGUCACCCGGGUUGUGAGCGAUUCCCUCACGUGUGCUGUUUCAGUGGGACUGAUAAUUGUCACAGAGUCUCACCACUGAUCGGUCACAUUCGGGCACAGUUGGACAGAGGGUCUCCCCUGGAUUGUUUGACUGGUUUGGGGACUGGGAGCACUGUCUUAGAGAUGCCAUCUCGUGAGUCGAUAUAAUCUUUAGUUUGUGUUUUUCUCUUUGUGUCCGCCGAUGCUGCUGUGCCUCAAGCCUGCCCGCCUUCCUGUGGAACCAUGCCGGGGACCACUCGACCGACCCCCGGGUGGACUCUGGCUGCCGCACCCCCACGCCGUCCCUUGUCAGCUUGAAGAAGCCAGAACGGUCAUCGCCCCCGUUCCCUAACGGCAGCUGGGAGCCCUAUUCCAGGGGGCGGAGUGAGUAGGGAAAGGGUUCCGCCAGGCAGGGAGAGAGAAGGGGCCUUCAGGGAGGCAGGCUGUAGCCUCCCGUGCGAGGCUGAAGAGAAGCAGCGGUGGCAGCGGAGUUGGGGGAAGAAGAGAAUAAGAUGAACGGUUCUGGGCCUGCCCAGGUUAGGUGCCAUGGGCGGAGUCUCACAAACCGUCCGAUAAGGUCCACGCUAGAAGCCGGGGACAGAAAUCCCCAGCAGCUACCCCGUCGGGACCCCUCUCUCUCUUGAGAGCUUUGUACUUUCCCGCAAUAAAAUCUACCGCUUUGCUCACUCUC